CCUUUUCAAGAAGGAAAGAUGUCUGUAAUAUGCAACACUGGUUUUUGUAUGUUUGUUGUUUUUUAACCACAGCAGACAUCACCAUUUAAUAAUUUUCAUAUUUAUUUCCCAUCCACCAGCUUAAGUUCUUUUGGUUGCUGCAAAUUACCUAAAGAGGGAGAUGGAGGGUCUGCAUUAUCAUUAGCACAAGCAGCUGGCAAUCCAAGGUCAGAUCAUUGCUGUGCAGUAUGUGGCAUGGCCAGAGGAGGCACUGUCAGACCAGUUAGGCUUUAUUGAUUGCUUUACUGUGGGUUAUACAAUGAAUUUAAGGAGGAUCUUUUGGUCAGCUGUCCUGCCAAAAUCUAAAUUUUAACAGUCUUGAUGAAAAUAACCAAUUAUGUGACAUUUUAUCAGGUAACAAUAAUGUAAGUGCCAAAGCCUGCCACCUUAUCCUCCAACGGAUACUUUAUUUUUAUAAGAGCCUAAUUGUCCCUUUAGCCGCUAAACUUUAUGCAUAAAUGUGUAUAGGUUAUGUAAGGCAUUAUAUAUUACGCCUGUACCAUGUUUGCCGAUGAUUGUUUUUAGUGUUUCAAAACUCAGUUUGAGUGGUCCACAAUGUUUAAAAAAAAUUUUUUUUUAUUAUAGUAUCAUUGUGGAGUGACACGUCAAUACAUUUUUCUAACUCUAGAUACACUGAGUACACAAAAAACUAAGAACACAUGCUCUGUCCAUGACAGACUGACCAGGUGAAUGCAAUGAUCCCUUAUUGAUGUCACUUCUUAAAUCCACUUCAAUCAAUGUAUAGGAAGCGGUGGUUAAAAAAAUAUUUUUAAGCUUUGAGACAUUUUAUUUUUAACCCUUAUUUUACCAGGUAAGUUGACUGAGAACACAUUCUCAUUUACAGCAACGACCUGGAGAAUAGUUACAGGGGAGAUAAAUGAGCCAAUUAGAAGCUGGGGAUGAUUUGGUGGCCAUGAUGGUAUGAAGGCCAGAUUGGGAAUUUAGCCAGGACACCAGGGUUAACGCCUCUACUCUUACUUUUAUUUUUAUUUUUUAUUUCACCUUUAUUUAACCAAGUAGGCUAGUUGAGAACAAGUUCUCAUUUACAACUGCGACCUGGCCAAGAUAAAGCAAAGCAGUGCGACAGAAACAACACAGAGUUGCACAUGGAAUAAACAAGUCAAUAACACAGUAGGGGGGGGAAAUGAGUCUAUAUACAUUGUGUGCAAAAGGCAUGAGGAGGUAGGCAAUAAAUAGGCCAUAGGAGCGAAUAAUUACAAUUUAGCAGAUGGAGUGAUAAAUCAUCAGAUGAUCAUGUACAAGUAGAGAUACUGGUGUGCAAAAGAGCAGAAAAGUAAAUAAAUAAAAACAGUAAGGGGAUGAGGUAGGUAAAUUGGGUGGGCUGUUUACAGAUGGACUAUGUACAGCUGCAGCGAUCGGUUAGCUGCUCAGAUAGCAGAUGUUUAAAGUUGGUGAGGGAAAUAAAAGUCUCCAACUUCAGCGAUUUUUGCAAUUCGUUCCAGUCACAGGCAGCAGAGAACUGGAAGGAAAGGCGGCCAAAUGAGGUGUUGGCUUUUGGGAUGAUCAGUGAGAUAUACCUGCUGGAGCGCGUGCUACGGGUGGGUGUUGUUAUCGGGAUCAGUGAACUGAGAUAAGGCAGAGCUUUACCUAGCAUGGACUUAUAGAUGACCUGGAGCCAGUGGGUCUGGCGACGAAUAUGUAGCGAGGGCCAGCCGACUAGAGCAUACAGGUCGCAGUGGUGGGUGGUAUAAGGUGUUUUAGUAACAAAACGGAUGGCGCUAUGAUAAACUGCAUCUGGUUUGCUUAGUAGAGUAUUGGAAGCUAUUUUGUAGAUGACAUCGCCGAAGUCGAGGAUCGGUAGGAUAGUCAGUUUUACAAGGGUAAGUUUGGCAGCGUGAGUGAAGGAGGCUUUGUUGCGAAAUAGAAAGCCGAUUCUUGAUUUGAUUUUGGAUUGGAGAUGUUUAAUAUGAGUCUGGAAGGAGAGUUUACAGUCUAGCCAGACACCUAGGUAUUUAUAGAUGUCCACAUAUUCUAGGUCGGAACCGUCCAGGGUGGUGAUGCUAGUCGGGCGGGCGGGUGCAGGCAGUGAACGGUUGAAAAGCAUGCAUUUGGUUUUACUAGCGUUUAAGAGCAGUUGGAGGCCACGGAAGGAGUGUUGUAUGGCAUUGAAGCUCGUUUGGAGGUUAGAUAGCACAGUGUCCAAGGAAGGGACAGAAGUAUACAGAAUGGUGUCGUCUGCGCAGAGGUGGAUCAGGGAAUCGCCCGCAGCAAGAGCAACAUCAUUGAUGUAUACAGAGAAAAGAGUCGGCCCGAGAAUUGAACCCUGUGGUUCCCCCAUAGAGAUUGCCAGAGGACCGGACAACAUGCCCUCCGAUUUGACACACUGAACUCUGUCUGCAAAGUAGUUGGUGAACCAGGCGAGGCAGUCAUUAGAAAAACCAAGGCUACUGAGUCUGCCGAUAAGAAUAUGGUGAUUGACAGAGUCGAAAGCCUUGGCCAGGUCGAUGAAGACGGCUGCACAGUACUGUCUUUUAUCGAUGGCGGUUAUGAUAUCAUUUAGUACCUUGAGCGUGGCUGAGGUGCACCUGUGACCGGCUCGGAAACCGGAUUGCACAGCGGAGAAGGUACGGUGGGAUUCGAGAUGGUCAGUGAUCUGUUUAUUAACUUGGCUUUCGAAGACCUUAGAUAGGCAGGGCAGGAUGGAUAUAGGUCUGUACCAGUUUGGGUCCAGGGUGUCUCCCCCUUUGAAGAGGGGGAUGACCACGGCAGCUUUCCAAUAAGUGCCAUGGGAUCUUUAGUGACCACAGAGAGUCAGGACACCCAUUUAACGUCCCACCUGAAAGACGGCAUCCUACUCAGGGCAGUGUCCCUAAUCACUGCCCUGGGGCAUUGGGAUAUUUGUUGUUUGUUUUUUUGACCAAAGGAAAGAGUGCCUCCUUCCAGCAGCAUCUGGCAAGCCAUUAGGGUGGUGUGCUGUGCAUGUGUGCCAUUCAGGGGGGUGAAUGGGCAAGACAAAAGAUAUAAGUGCCUUUGAACGGGGUAUGGAAGUAGGUGCCAGGCACACCGGUUUGUGUCAAGAACUGCAACACUGGUGGGUUUUUCACGCUCAACAGUUUCCCAUGUUUAUCAAGAAUGGUCCACUACCUAAUGGACUUCAAGCCAACUUAACACAACUGGAGUUAACAUGGGCCAGCAUCCCUGUGGAAUGGUUUUGACGCCUUGUAGAGUUGUGCACCUCAAUAUUAGGAAGGUGUUCCUAAUGUUUGCUAUACUCAGUGUAUAUAACACAUUUCAUGUUUUUUUAACACACUAAUUCUCUUUUUCUAAAGUCGGUGCAUUGUUUUUUUUUACAAGAACAGGACAGGAUACAUUGAAAGACAAAAAAAAUAACUGUUACCUGUACAGGAAUGAUUUGCUGUUGGUAAGUCAAGUUUAGAAUACUAUUCAGUCUGUGUGUGAGACUGUUGUGGCUGUACCUAACCCACACAGUGAUCAGAAAACUGUAGACGUAACUGAAACACAGGGAAACAGCGCCCUCUGGUGUGCAAAGCUCAGCAGACGGAAAACAACCCAAGUGAGGUGAGUUUCAAAACACAGGUGGGCUAUAAAACAUUACUAAACAUUUAAAAUUGUACUUGUAACUCCCUUUUACUACGGCAUUUGAAAUUUUAUUCGUAUAUUUUACAUUGUCAUGAUGACGUCACUUGCGUGUUUUAGAAUAAUUGUAUUUUGUCUUUUAGAGUGAUAAAGCAAUGCUACAUCACUCGGGCCAGGAUGCAAGAGAAAAGGUACUGGAUCAACUUCUAUCUGCCAUAAUCAGUUCUCUAUGCCCAUCAGGGACCCACCCAGUAGCUCAGGUUAUGAGAGCUUUGUCUGUUCACAGAGAAGCUGGCCGUGGCUUUACAGCAGCAUACCACCCUGCAUACCACUGCUGGCUUGCUUCUGAAGCUAAGCAGGGUUGGUCCUGGUCAGUCCCUGGAUGGGAGACCAGAUGCUGCUGGAAGUGGUGUUGGAGGGCCAGUAGGAGGCACUCUUUCCUCUGGUCUAAAAAAAUAUCCCAAUGCCCCAGGGCAGUGAUUGGGGACACUGCCCAGUGUAGGGUGCUGUCUUUCGGAUGGGACGUUAAACCGGUGUCCUGACUCUCUGAGGUCAUUAAAGAUCCCAUGGCACUUAUCGUAAGAGUAGGGGUGUUAACCCCGGUGUCCUGGCUAAAUUCCCAAUCUGGCCCUCAAACCAUCAUGGUCACCUAAUAAUCCCCAGUUUACAAUUGGCUCAUUCAUCCCCCUCCUCUCCCCUGUAACUAUUCCCCAGGUCGUUGCUGCAAAUGAGAACGUGUUCUCAGUCAACUUACCUGGUAAAAUAACGGUAAAAUAAAAAAUAAAAUAAAUAAAAAGAAUAGGAGCAUGUGGAGCUGGAAGAGAGAGUGAUUCUGAAUCAGAGGAAGAAGUUGGUCCACUAGAUAGAAACCCAGACCAAACCAGAGCCAGUGGACAACAAAGUCCAUCAGGUAUAAGAGUGCUGAGCCACAUGAACAUACUAUCUCAACAUUUAUCUGUGGCCUAGCUUCUAUUACUCUGUUUAUGAACUAAGCAUGGCAAGCCUGAGAAAUUAACUAUGCUGUCUGUCUGGAACCAUGGAAACUGCUUGCCAUUAAUGAGGGGUGUUGCAACAAGGCUAGUGACACUGAUAUGCCUACUAUAUUUUGUUUCUAAGAUAUUCCACAGAGUGACGGCGCUCCAAGAGAGAGUGGUUACGGACUGUGAUGGAUUUUUUUUAAAGCAGCUCGUGGCUGAAGCAGAGACGAGAAGUGUCAGAAUAUUUGGGUCAAUGACGAAUAAGAUUUUCAAAAACAAUUUAAAAGGGAAAAAAUAUUAAUUUCGAAACACUUUUUAUGUUCCCUUGAGUGUUACCUACAAUGUGUUUGCACAUUCAGGAUUUGUCGCUUUUUAUGCAAGUUAAAUUUACUUCCUAAAAAAAGUCAUCCUGUCUGACCAUACAUUUUUUUUAUAUAAAAAAUGUUUUCUGACCAUUAUUUCUAGCAAAGAAGAGUAAAAUAUGAAUAUAAACAUGGUGUCCGUUAUUCAAUAUCAAAGCAGUUAAAAAUUACGGUAUAAUUUUUUUAUUUUUCACUGGACGACCCCACAUUUUGAAUGACUGUCAACUAAAACUUCUGUUAGAGAAAUUAAAACCGUAUACAAUUUUACAAAAAUGCAUUUUUCUCUUAGACUGAGCUUCUCUGCAUUUUAUUAGACAAUAUAAUAAUGUUAUUGUUUUUAACCAUUAAGUACCGAAUGAUCAUUGCUGGUUGCACCGAAUGACUAUUAUUUUACAGUGUCAUUUUUUUUAGGCAGAUCUCUUUCCCUCUUACAGAAACACACACAUACAUAAACAGUAUGGUUUCUUAUUCAACUACAAUGAUGCCUUUAGUGCUUAAUAAAUUACAAGAAAUGUGACUCAAAUGUUUAUCACGCAGAAACAUUUCAUCAUGAACAUGGCAAUGAACUUCUAAAAAUGAUAAAAAUUCUGCACUAUGAUACAUUUUUCAAACAAUGUUAAAACAGUUAAGAAUCAAUGUAAUACAUACAUAGUAAAGUUCUUGAAGUACAGUAAUGACAUUAAAACAUUAAAAUACAAAACGUUUAAGAAAGUGUUCUACAUUACAUCAAUUACUCAUUUGAUUAAAAACGAAUGAAAUUGCUCUGUGCAAUGUCUUGUAAAAACAUUAUUGUAACAUUAAAACAUCCACAGAUAUGUUUAAGUUUGUGCAGAACAGUGCAAGAUUAAAACAAUUAUAAAUGUGAUAGCAAUUCAUGAGGUUCAACCAUUAAAUACAAAUGAUUUCAUUGCAGCAAAAGUUGUAACAGAAACUCAAGUUGACAAUUAUCAAACUUGCAUUCCUCAGUUUGUUUGAUGAUGUUGCACUUAUGUGACAAGAAAGCAGCCCAGUCUGUGUCGGACAGCCGAGAUGCUCUUAAGCUCAAGGGCUUGGGCUCACUGAUCAUUGCCUUCACAUCUCUUUCAUAGUACAAGGUAAUGUCUGGCACAGAUGACCAGACAAAAACAUUCCUCACUCCAUACUGCUGCAUAGAAGUGAUCAGCACUUCCUCCCCAAUCACCUUCAGUACCUGGCCUACAAAGGGGCGGUAGCGGUAAGUGAGUAAAAUCACUGAGAAAGCCAAGCCAGUAAAAAAGUCAUAUUAUAACCUAUGUUGUGAUAAUUAGGUUGUUUGCUCAAACCCAUUCGUUCAUUCGCCACCGUGAUAUACAAUAAGGCCGUGACAACAAAAAGACAACAGUCACGGAAUAAAUUCAACUACACAUACGUUUCAUCACAAAACUGGAGAGCAAUAUCUGUGGUGAAGGCCACAAAGCAAAUAUUGCAUACAAACAGUUAUUUUUAUUAUUUUAUUUAAUCAGGCAAGUCAGUUAAGAACAAAUUCUUAUUUGCAAUGACAGCCUACCCAGGAAUAGUGGGUUAAAUGCCUUGUUCUCACGUAAACAUGUUUUACAGGCAACUGCUUGUGCACCCAUGUGAGAACUUGACUUUUACCUUUAAGUAUGCAUCUUGAGUAUCAAAAUAAAAUACAAGCUUUUCAGAUAAUUCAAAAUUUGUAUUGUUUUUUAGCAUUUUCUGGGGGGGUAAAACCUGACAGGGAGUGGAAAUGUGAACUUAUUAAACAUUUACGAGCAACUUCCUAACAUUCCUUCUUAAUCUAAGGCUGCCUCACAGGCAUCUUAAUGAUGUCACAUAUUGUCACUAGUAUCAUCAUGUGAUUUGAUCCAAAAUGGUGACUUCAUGUCAGUUGCACCGAAUGAUAAUCAUGAAGGCUAAUUUUCCGGACAAAAGUAUUUCAAGUAUUUAAAACCUUUCUGCCUAAACUGUCUUACCCAUAUAAAAGUGUAGUGCAGUAGACCAUUAGAAAUUCAUGCCAGAAUAAUCUUUUGACAGUUUUGUUAUGAUUUAAGAUGUUUUAUUAACACUUAUAUAGAUUGUAUUUCGUUUUUGGACAGGUGCACAGAAUGAAUAAGUGAAAAAAAAAUCACAUCUAACCAUUAACUCUUUUAGGACAAAGUAAAAGAGAAAGAGCAUAGUUUCCUAACAUAAAAUGUGUAUAUAUUGGUUGUUGAUUUUGGGAAAAUAUUUCAUUCGGACACCAAAAUAUGCACAUCAAGCCAUUGACACAUUUACAUUCUAGUUGUGUUAACCCAGAGUGCCUUUCUCAGAUAUUCAGAUUUGUCGACAAGACCCUUCUGCUGCAGCAGAGUAACCUCCAUGCUGCCAGGUGGAUGCUAGAGCAAACCACAGACACAUUCUCACCAGUAGCCUGCAAAGGAUACUAUAAGACCACAAUAUUUGUUGAUGGCCAUCAAUGCUGCUUUUGUUCCUGUGAUGCCAUCUGGGGACUGCAGGUCCUUAGGUCUGUCUCAAGACCCCCAUGACAACACACUUCUGUCUUGCCUGUCUGCAGGCUUCCUCUGACCUCUCGCAGACCCCCUGAGCCUGAGUGAAGCUGCUCUCCCUGAACCCGGUAACACACCGGGAAGAGGGGGACAGGAGGGGAGGAUAAAGACACACCCCUGGGAGCCAGUCAUGGGGCACUGCUUUUAGCUGAGGCGGAAGACCCUGGCUAUUUUCAAGCCGACAACUAUUCGUGGUUCAUGACCUGCUCACAAGCAUAUUUACAAUAUCAAAUUUCCUAAUGUUGACCUUCAAGUGGGGCUUUCAACUUUAAAACUCGAGUCCACUUAAGAGAGCAGUUAUGGCAAAUAUGCUGUCCAGUCCUGAGGUUAGACUGAGUAUUGAUUACAUGGUACAGUGUAGGGUCAAAUCAAACAUGAUUUUCAUGGUACAUUCUGUCUACACAUAAUAUUAAGCAUCGAUUCAUUAAUUAUGUAAAAUGUAGACACUAUUCAGGAGGGCUGUAUGCAUAAUGUUUCUACAACUUAAAGUAACUGUCCAGUGUUUCCAGAUUUCUAUGAAAUAUGACAUAUAAUUAAUUACAAUAAGAGUAGAAUAGUUUUCCUUCCAAAAAAAGUGUAAUAAAGGAUGUUAAAAAGCAGAUUUUAUGUAUUAGAAUGGUGUUGGCGUACCCCAACAACAGAAUGGUGUGGGUGUAUAGCGGUCAUUAAAAAUACUAAUGCGAGUAGACCACUGAUUGGCCAGCUCAUCCUCCACAGGAGGAUGACAUCAUCCUCUGAGGAAAUGGCAAGCAUUUUUGAAACGGUCUGUUUGAGAUACAAGGUUGAGGUGGGGUUUUUGAGGUGUUUUUUUCUCCCUUUGGCCACAUAUGAGUAUAGGAUGCGUCAACAACGUUAUUUGGGUAUGGAGUUAACAGUUGAUCAACUUUUAAAAGUGAGAUUUUAACUGGACAGUUACUUUAAAUAUUUUUUUAUUUGUGUAUGCUGGUUUUUCUAUUUUGUUCUUUCAGAAGAGAUUUUGUCAACUGCUGCGGAGCUGAAAGACACUAAUUUUGUGUGUAUCCCUGACCUCUGUCAUCUGGGAGGAGAGAAAGAAGAGGUUCUCAUCACCAAGGUGUAUAGAAUGACAGAUAUCGCUUUGGAUAAUAUAUUGGACCACAAUAUGUAUGAAAUGAAUUUGUUGUUUGUUAACAUGAUUAGGCAAUCACGUUUUAUUGUUAAAUUCUGGAAAUAUUUUUGUAGAUAUUGUUUGUGGCAAUUUUCUGUUUUUUUAAACUGGGGGUUUGAGUAUCUGGAGAAAAAGGAAAACUUUUGGUUUUUGUUUCAUUAGUCCAUUGCUGAUAUAGUCCCAAAAUGUUUUGUAUUUGUAUUUAUUAUGGAUCCUUAUUAGCUGCUGCCAAUGAAGCAGCUACUCUUCCUGGGGUCCAGCAACAUUAAGAGAUUUAUAUACAGUUAAAAAUAUUACACUUCAUUUCAUUUACCCAAUACAUUUAGUGUGUUCCCAAAUACAAUGCUCUUAUUUUUUUAUUUUUUGGGGAACUAAUUUAUUCAUUGCCACCAGUUCUGAAACACUAACUGCAGCUCUUUGUUAAGUGUUGCAGUGAUUUCACUCACUGUAGUAGCUGAUGUGUAUAGUGUUGAGUCAUCCACAUUCAUAGCCACACUGGCUUUACUCAAGGCCAGUGGCAUGUCAGUAGUAAAUAUUGAAAAAGCAAGGGGCCUAGACAGCUGCCCAGGGGAAUUCCUGAUUCUACCUGGAUUAUGUUGGAGGCUUCCUUUAAAGAACACUCUCUGUGUUCUGUUUGACAGGUAACUCUUUAUCUACAAUAUAGCAGGGGGUGUAAAGCCAUAACACAUACGUUUUUCCAUCAGCAGAUAAUGUCAAAACAGCUCCCCCAAUCUUUUUAUCAUCAAUUUCUCUCAGUCAAUCAUCAGUCAUUUGUGUAAGUGCUGUGCUUGUUGAAUGUCCUCCCCUAUAAGCGUGCUGAAAGUCUCUUCAAUUUGUUUACAGUGAAAUAGCAUUGUAUCUGGUCAAACACCAUUUUUUCCAAAGGCUAUUUGAGCCAGUCAAGGGGGCUUUACUAUUCUUGGGUAGCGGUAUUACUUUUGCUUCCCUCCAGGCCAGAGGGCACACAUUUUCUAGUAGGCUUAGAUUGAAGAUAUGGCAAAGAGGAGUGGCAAUAUUUUCCGCUAUUAUCCUCAGUAAUUUUCCACCCAAGUUGUCAGACCCCGGUAGGGAAUUCAAAAUGUACAAUGCUUGUCUUUCAUAAUUUGAUCAGUUAUACUGGUGUAGUGUCAGCAUUUGUUGCUGACAUGUCAUGCCUAAGUUUGCUAAUAUUGCCAAUGAAAAAAUCAUAAAAGUAAUUGGAAAUA